rnacentral:tmRNA from 1 species
GGGGCUGAAUGGUAUCGACAGGAAGGUUGAUCAGUUAGUAAGCAUGCAGGGGAAAGAUUGUUCACUCCUUAAAAAUGACAAUCAAACCAUAAUUGGCGAAAAUAGAUUCGCAUUAGCGGCAUAAUCUAGGAUUAUAAAGCUUUUUGGGGACUACGUUUGAUGUCUGAUACACAACGUACAUUCCCCAUCAAACCGAAUUCAGGCUAGGAGUUAGUUUCGCUUUGGAUUAAUUCCGAAAUUAAAGAAGAUAAGCUGAGGGCAAGGUUGCUUGUACAUCUACCCGAGGAUUAAAAUUAAAGUAUAAGCUAAGCAUGUAGAAGGCUCUCUGAGGCUUUGUCUGGACCUGGGUUCGAAUCCCAGCAGCUCCACCA